CGAACGAUGAAGCCUUCGGGUGGAUUAGUGGCGAACGGGUGAGUAACACGUGGGCAAUCUGCCCUGUACUUUGGGAUAAGCCUGGGAAACUGGGUCUAAUACCGGAUAUCACUGAUUCUCGCAUGGGGGUUGGUUGAAAGUUCUGGCGGUACAGGAUGAGCCCGCGGCCUAUCAGCUUGUUGGUGGGGUAAUGGCCUACCAAGGCGACGACGGGUAGCCGGCCUGAGAGGGUGACCGGCCACACUGGGACUGAGACACGGCCCAGACUCCUACGGGAGGCAGCAGUGGGGAAUAUUGCACAAUGGGCGAAAGCCUGAUGCAGCGACGCCGCGUGAGGGAUGACGGCCUUCGGGUUGUAAACCUCUUUCGCCAGGGACGAAGCGCAAGUGACGGUACCUGGAUAAGAAGCACCGGCUAACUACGUGCCAGCAGCCGCGGUAAUACGUAGGGUGCGAGCGUUGUCCGGAAUUAUUGGGCGUAAAGAGCUCGUAGGCGGUUUGUCGCGUCGUUCGUGAAAACUCCACGCUUAACGUGGAGCGUGCGGGCGAUACGGGCAGACUUGAGUUCGGUAGGGGAGACUGGAAUUCCUGGUGUAGCGGUGAAAUGCGCAGAUAUCAGGAGGAACACCGGUGGCGAAGGCGGGUCUCUGGGCCGAUACUGACGCUGAGGAGCGAAAGCGUGGGGAGCGAACAGGAUUAGAUACCCUGGUAGUCCACGCUGUAAACGUUGGGCGCUAGGUGUGGGCGACAUCCACGUUGUCCGUGCCGUAGCUAACGCA
rnacentral:rRNA from 1 species